UUGCUUGUUUUCCUGAAAAUGGACUUCAUGAGACCAAUCUCAUUAUGAUGGUGGCACACUGAAUGCUGUGGAGAUCAUCUUUGGAACCAGAAAUGCAGCAUUUCACGUUUGUCCUCUUGCUUUUAGCAGCUCAUCUCUCACCAAUACUCUGUCACAUUGCUGUUGCGGUCUUUGACAGCAACAACAGAACGUGGUCUUCAGCUCAGCAUUACUGCAGGAAGAAAUACACUGACUUAGCCUUCACUGAGAAUCCUUCGGAUAUUGAUGCGUCUCUUAUGGGGAACUCCAGUUUCUCUGGUCCUGUCUGGUUUGGGUUGAGGCGUAACGUUAGCUGUGGUGAAAACUGGCAAUGGUCAAAUGGGGAGAAGUUCCAUUUGAAAAGUGUCCAGUUCUUGUCCAGUUUGAAAAGUGGACAUAAGGGGAGUUCGAGAACAUAGAUAAGCAGGGAUACUGGACAAGGGCUUCCUGCUCAGAAAAAAUGUGUUUAUCUGACAAAGUUAGUAACUUUAUCCACUCUUACAUUGUCCACUCCCUUACAUUGUUUCAUGCUUCUUUAAACGUCAGUUAUAACACAAAUCAUGUUGUAAAAUUGCUAUACAGGAAGUCAAAAGUUAUGCAUUUAAUAAAAGGGUAAUAUCAGACAAUAUACACAUAUUCGUGAGAUGUAAAGGUGUGUAUUCAGUGUUGGAGGAGAUAAUGUUUGCCUGAACCCUUGUCUAUGUGUAAACUUUUAUGUCACAGGUAGCUUUGAUUUACCCAAUCGGUCAUUGGGGGAUACUUUGUCUACUUGGUCUGAAGCCCAAAGUCAUUGUAGGGCUAAAUAUUCCAAUCUGGUGGAGAUUGAAAGCUUUGCAGAACUCAAAUCACUAAAAUGUACAAGGAAAGGGCGAUCUGUUUGGAUUGAACACUUCCGUGACACCUGGGAAUGGGCUGAUGGGAAACCUUGGGAUUCCGGUAUUGGAAUGAUCUGGAGCUGAAGUUUAUCUGAAUAGAUCGCAUUACCCUGAAAAGAGAUGGAAUGACAGAAGCUGCAUGUCACCAACUUAUUUCAUUUGUGUUGCUGGUAAAUAACUUUUGAAAGUGAUCUUUUAAAAUGAUUACCUACCUUUCAUUUCAGGUCAUAUUUUACAAAUAUAAUGCUUCA